UACGGGGGGGGGCAAGCGUUGUUCGGACUUACUGGGCGUAAAGGGCUCGUAGGCGGCCAACUAAGUCAGACGUGAAAUCCCUCGGCUUAACCGGGGAACUGCGUCUGAUACUGGAUGGCUUGAGAUUGGGAGAGGGAUGCGGAAUUCCAGGUGUAGCGGUGAAAUGCGUAGAUAUCUGGAGGAACACCGGUGGCGAAGGCGGCAUCCUGGACCAACACUGACGCUGAGGAGCGAAAGCCAGGGGAGCAAACGGG
rnacentral:rRNA from 1 species